rnacentral:rRNA from 1 species
UCAGCAGCCGCGGUAAUACAUGGGGUGCAAACGUUGCUCGGAAUUAUUGGGCGUAAAGCGCGCGUAGGCGGUCGCUUAAGUCGGAUGUGAAAUCCCUCGGCUUAACUGAGGAAGUGCAUCCGAGACUGAAUGGCUAGAGUACGAAAGAGGGUCGCGGAAUUCCCGGUGUAGAGGUGAAAUUCGUAGAUAUCGGGAGGAACACCGGCGGCGAAGGCGGCGACCUGGUUCGAGACUGACGCUGAGGCGCGAAAGCGUGGGGAGCAAACAGGAUUAGAUACCCUGGUAGUCCACGCCGUAAACGAUGGAUGCUAGAUGUUUCUGGUAUUGACCCCGGAGGCGUCGUAGCUAACGCGUUAAGCAUCCCGCCUGGGGAGUACGGCCGCAAGGCUAAAACUUAAAGGAAUUGGCGGGGGAU